AUUAAUUAACAAUAAAUCUAACAUAGAAUUUAUGAAUAAUUAAUAUAUUUAUUUAUAUACCAAAACAUGCUAAAAUUUAUUUAUAAUAAGAAAUCUAUUUUCUAAUAUAUGUAUAAUUAAUUUAAAAAUAUUUAUUAGGUCAUGCAAAUAUAUUUUAAUAUUCGAAACAGCUAAUAUUAACAGCAUUUCUGUAAGUGGGCCAUAAAUAGCCAACAAAUGGAUUGAGAAAAUAAAUGUUAUUACCUGAAUUAUUUGUUCAAGGGUAUUGUUGAGAAUUUGGCAAUAUUCUUAUAUAAAAUUACCUCCAACCGGACAUAGUAAUCUUUUUUUCAAUACUGUUUUUCAAAGUAAUUUUUCCACCAAGCAAACAUGGUAAAAUUUAUUUUCCCCCGCAAUCAUUUCUUUAGAUAACUAAUUUUCAGAAAUCGUCAUAUUACCUAUAAUCUAAUGUACUCCAACCAAACAAACCCUUAUAGAAAAUCAUUUUAAAGGUGUCUUUGGCAAAAUCCUACAAGGUCAAGUAGGAUAGACGAAGAAAACCUUGCCAGGAUGAGAAAAUGAAGAAGUCGGAGAACAGAGAGAGGAACCAAUGGGGAUUGUGGUUGGAUCAUGGAAGGAUGAAGAAGUAAGACCUUUAGAGCUCUUUUUUUUCAUCCUACGAGGAUCUAGUGCUGCAAUCUUGCUGUUCUCUCCUUCCCUCUUUUGCUCUCCCUUUGAUGCCUUUCUUUGGUUUAUCCUGCCAGAUCCGGCGAGAUCCAUUGGGAUUUUCCCAAACUAGCCCCAAGUGACCACUGUAUCUUUUUCAGUUUUGUUAGAUAGGUCCUAUCAUAAACAUCCUAUGGUGGCUCUUUGUGUCUCGCCCAUGGGCUUUUUGUCAGUAUUUCACUAACAUUUUGAAAAUAUUUUUAAAGAGGAAAAGAUAUAUAAAAUGCCUUCAAUUAAAUUAAUGAUAUUUCAUCAAUGAGAUAUAUUUAACUAUUUAAAUCACUUGUCUAAUUUCUAUCAUUGGUUAAUUGACCAAAAAAUGUGCUAGCUAUCAUUUUCUGGAUCUGUUGUUAUGUAUCAAAACUUCUUCAGUCCAAUCUUAACCUUAAAGCAUGCUCAAUAUGGACCUUAAACAUGGUCCGAUAGAUAGAGAACAAGAUUGCAAUAUUAUAUCAAUAACCGUUAGCUUAAAGUAUAAUCUGCAGAAGUUAAACGUGUAUCUAUUAUAUCUAUAUGCUUGAGUAAAUGAGCAAAUUUGAUUCAUAUUUUCUAAUCGCUAAUCUCUAUCUCGCAGGCUGUGCACAUGCUAGCAACUAUAUAAAAUAGAGAUCUAUAGUGACCUGCAAUAUGGUGCUUUGUGACUUAGAGAACUAGUGAAGUAGUUGGUCAUCUUCCCAUGUUACCAGUAAUGGCAAUAAAAACUUUUCUGCUGUAUGAUUAGUAGACCUUGAAGCUUAACUAAUACUGACAUAACACAAAUAUUUAUUUCUAAUUUCAUAGAAUGGGGAAUCCUCAUUUUGUCAGGAGACAUGCUAUAAAUUUUCUAUCCAUCUUGUGCCUGUAUGGGUGUUGGCUCCAUGCCUCCUUGUGUAGCUAGUCUCCAUCCACCCAGGACCUUGAAAAGGUAUAUUUGUCAGUCAUGCAUCUUUAUUAGAAAUCUGAUACAGUUUUAUAGAAGUUAUUGUUCCUUAAUGAAAGAAGAAACAGCAUCAAUACUCAAUGAGCAUUUCUGCAGGACUUUCUCAACUAUCCUUUAAUUCGAUUAAAAUUUUACUUUAUUCUUAUUAAAGCUACAAUGAUUGGAUGAAGAUAUUUCUCGAUACUAAUAUUAAAAAGUAGACAGUUAUGCAUCGAUGGAAAAAUUUCUCAUUAUUUUGUUGUGAAUAAUAAUUGCUGGUAAAAAAAAAUUGCAGUCUUCAAGAAUGAAUAAUGAAAAAGAUUUUUUAAUUUGUAAAAUGUGUGGAGUGAGCAUAUUGACUGCUGUUGCAUAUUCAUACUCUAACCUACAAUGAGAAUCAUGUUCAGGAAUUUUGAAAAUCUGGAUCUAAGCAUGAUGUGAUUUAUCGUGUUAUAGUUCUGCAUUAUGAUAAGAUACUCUUUUCCUCUCAUUUUAUUUUAAAUUUUCUAUGUUGCAUUGGAGAGUGAUGUAAAAAUGAUCUUGGUAGAGGAAAUCGAAUUUGCUGAUGACAUAGUAUUUGUGGUUGGAGAAACUACCUUUGUGAUUCAGUAGUGCAUAUGCAUGUCUAAUACACGAGGCCCUCAAAUGGCACAGCUUGGUAACUCAGAAAUGUAACACAUGUCGAUACAUGGACAUAUAGUGCUGCAUCAUGAUAAGAUAUUCUUUUCCUCAUUUUUUUUAAAUGUUCUAUGUUGCAUUGGAGAGUUAUGUAAAAGAUCUUGGUAGAGCGCGCCAAAUUUGCUGACGGCAUAGUAUUUGUGGUUGGAAAAAUUACCUUUGUCAUUUAGUAGUGCGUAUGCAUGUCUAAUACACAUGGGUCCCUUAAAUGGCACAACUUUGUAACUCAAAUGUAACACAUGUUAUAAGAGUUCAUGUCUGUGAAUUUGACAGAAAAAUACAUAUUUUUUAAAUGGCAAAAUGGAUUAUCAAUGACCAUAAAGCUGCAAUGGUCUGAACUCACCUACCACAAGUUUAAAUUAGUAAACCUUUCACUUAUAAAUAAUCAAACAACUCCUUUGCAAAGGAAAAUAUGAUUAAACUCAUAGCUUAUGAUGCAUGCUAAAUUACAAACUUCCCGAUACUUAUUUUUCAAGAAAUUCACUUCAUAUUUCUUAUGAAUCUGCAACAUUCAUACCUAAGUAGACAUACGUGCCUAGAUACAUAAAGUUGCAAGCAUUAAUAUGGUUACCACUAAUCUUAUAUGAAGAGCUAAAAGUGAGAGUUAUACAAAAUGUCUUGAUAUGUUUAACAUAUAGUCCCCCGAAAAUUCCCUUUACAAACACCCUGAGCCCUAAUAAAUGCAUACAAGUCUUAGCAAACAGAACUAAAGGAUUAGUGAAAAUUCUGUAUGUUGAAUAAAUUGGGACAAAAAUCCUAAUGACAGAGGAAAGAAUCUUUAUUUGUAG
rnacentral:lncRNA from 1 species